rnacentral:rRNA from 1 species
GAGACAGCAGUAGCCGCGGUAAUACGGAGGGUGCAAGCGUUAAUCGGAAUUACUGGGCGUAAAGCGCACGCAGGCGGUUUGUUAAGUCAGAUGUGAAAUCCCCGAGCUUAACUUGGGAACUGCAUUUGAAACUGGCAAGCUAGAGUCUUGUAGAGGGGGGUAGAAUUCCAGGUGUAGCGGUGAAAUGCGUAGAGAUCUGGAGGAAUACCGGUGGCGAAGGCGGCCCCCUGGACAAAGACUGACGCUCAGGUGCGAAAGCGUGGGGAGCAAACAGGAUUAGAUACCCCGGUAGUCCCUGUCUCUUAUAC